UAGCGUAUAUUAAAGUUGUUGCAGUUAAAACGCUCGUAGUCGGAUUUCGGGGCGGCUUCGCCGGUCUGCCGAUGGGUAUGCACUGGCGAGGGCGUCCUUCCUUCCGGAGACUGGCCCUACUCUUAACUGAGCGGGGUCGGGAGUCGGAUCGUUUACUUUGAAAAAAUCAGAGUGUUUCAAGCAGGCAUAUCGUUCUUGCAUGGAUUAGCAUGGGAUAAUGAAAUAGGACUUUGGUGCUAUUUUGUUGGUUUCGAACACCGAAGUAAUGAUUAACAGGGACAGUCAGGGGCACUCGUAUUCCGCCGAGAGAGGUGAAAUUCUCAGACCAGCGGAAGACGAACUACUGCGAAAGCAUUUG
rnacentral:rRNA from 1 species